GAUGAACGCUAGCUACAGGCUUAACACAUGCAAGUCGAGGGGAAACGACAUUGAAGCUUGCUUCGAUGGUCGUCGACCGGCGCACGGGUGAGUAACGCGUAUCCAACCUGCCUCUGACCAAGGGAUAACCCGUCGAAAGUCGGCCUAAUACCUUAUGCAGUCGUCGGAAGUCAUCUGAUGACGACGAAAGAUUUCAUCGGUGAGAGAUGGGGAUGCGUCUGAUUAGCUUGUUGGCGGGGUAACGGCCCACCAAGGCAACGAUCAGUAGGGGUUCUGAGAGGAAGGUCCCCCACAUUGGAACUGAGACACGGUCCAAACUCCUACGGGAGGCAGCAGUGAGGAAUAUUGGUCAAUGGGCGAGAGCCUGAACCAGCCAAGUAGCGUGCAGGAUGACGACCCUAUGGGUUGUAAACUGCUUUUAUGCGGGGAUAAAGUGAGGGACGUGUCCUUCAUUGCAGGUACCGCAUGAAUAAGGACCGGCUAAUUCCGUG
rnacentral:rRNA from 1 species